GACGAACGCUGGCGGCGUGCUUAACACAUGCAAGUCGAACGGAAAGGCCCUGCUUUUGUGGGGUGCUCGAGUGGCGAACGGGUGAGUAACACGUGAGUAACCUGCCCUUGACUUUGGGAUAACUUCAGGAAACUGGGGCUAAUACCGGAUAGGAGCUCCUGCUGCAUGGUGGGGGUUGGAAAGUUUCGGCGGUUGGGGAUGGACUCGCGGCUUAUCAGCCUGUUGGUGGGGUAGUGGCUUACCAAGGCUUUGACGGGUAGCCGGCCUGAGAGGGUGACCGGCCACAUUGAGACUGAGAUACGGCCCAGACUCCUACGGGAGGCAGCAGUGGGGAAUAUUGCACAAUGGGCGGAAGCCUGAUGCAGCAACGCCGCGUGCGGGAUGACGGCCUUCGGGUUGUAAACCGCUUUCGCCUGUGACGAAGCGUGAGUGACGGUAAUGGGUAAAGAAGCACCGGCUAACUACGUG
rnacentral:rRNA from 1 species